CAGGUAAUUCAGCAGGCGCUGCACCGGCCCCCCAGCUCGGCUGCUCAGUACCUGCAGCAGAUGUAUGCAGCCCAGCAGCAACACCUGAUGCUGCACACUGCAGCCCUCCAGCAGCAGCAUCUCAGCAGCUCUCAGCUCCAGAGCCUGGCUGCCGUUCAGGCAAGUCUGUCAAGUGGAAGACCAUCUACAUCCCCCACAGGAAGUGUCACGCAGCAGUCGAGUAUGUCCCAGACAUCUAGAAACCCUGGAGAUGGAAUUUGGGGAGAUCACAGCAAAACAGCCUCACGACAGCAGCUGAGAUGAGGUCUCUUCUCCAGGGACCAGGGCCCCGUGGAAAGCUGAUGGCUGCUGUUUCAAUCCAACCUAACAGUGUUAGUUGAGCAGCUACUUUCAAUUUUACUACGUUCUUACUGGGUUUGGAUGACAAAAUUUUAAGGUUUUUGCAGAUUGCUUUCAAAGGCCUUGCAUUUUGGAUGUAGUGUUUCCGAGUGAAUCAUAUUGCCAGUGCAUUCCUCUGUCUCCACAAACUUGUUACAUUAAAAUGCAAGGAAAUCC